GAAAACGGUAGAUGUGGCACUGAGGAACAUAGUCUCAAUUGGUCACAGGCAUGGGUUGAUGGUUGGUCUAGAUGAUCUUAGUGGUCCUUCCAACCUUAAUGAUUCUAUCACAGAAGUGCUAUUCACUGCAGUGGAGGGAUACCGAGUCAAAGUGGCCAUGCUCAGCACUAUAGGACAGGAUGAGAUGCACCCAUGGGGCACGAAGGAAAGUGGCUAAUGCCCUUGUGAGGCCACUAUCACCAUCCUAGACAGGUGGUAGUAGUCAGGUGAUGCUGCAGAUUACAGAAAAGGACAAUAUCAUGUUCAAAAAGAAAGAGGAGAAGGCAGGGAACUAUCAACUGAUCGGUCUAGGCUCAGUUCCUGGGAAGAUCACAGAGCAAACACCAUAGAAGAUGUUUUUCUAGGGAGAUGAAGGUGGCUGGGAACAGCCAGUGUGGAUGUGGGAAGAGAAAUCAUUGCUCAUCAAGCCUCAGUUGCAUUCUGUGAUCACAGAAUCACAAAACUGUAGCAGUCAGAAGGGACUUCUAGAGAGCAGCAAGUCCAACGCCCCUACUAAAACAAGUUCCCUACAGUAAGUUGCACAGGAAAGCGUCCAGGCAGGUCUUGAAGUAAUAGUUCCAGUAGAUGAGAGUAGUGUAGAUACCUUCACUUGCAACAUGGUCUUCCAUAGUAUUUUUGGAUUGGAGGAAUGGGUGGAUAGAAACCUCAGGAAGUUUAGUAGACUCUGAAUCCCACGCACCCCUGGGAGGGAAUGACCCUAUGCCGGUGCAUAGACUGCAGCUCUGCAGGACGGAGCUGGGGCCUGGAGGGCACAGAGCUGAACGCGGGGCAGCAGCGCAGCCUGCUGGCACCGAAGCCCAAUCGCAGACCGGGCUGUGCUGGCAGGGAUGGAAGCUCUUUGUUUCUUCCAGUUGGUGUUUAUGACACUCCUUCUGGAGUCCUGGGCCUGGUUCUGGGCUCCCCAGAACAGGAGAACUGCUGCUGUGGGAGAGCUCUUGAGCCCUCCCACACUACCUUGUGGGUGUCAUAGGGAACACCCAGCCUCUCAGAGGUACACAACAAAAGAAAUAACGAACCUCAGUCUAGAAAGCCUAAAACGCUUGAGGUCUGAAUGUGAUAGUAUCACACAGAAGGUAGGCAUGUAUAUGUAUGUAAAUAUACUUUGAAGUAUGUGCUACUAGGAGGACCUGCACUGUUGUUUACUAUAGCUCAUCUGACAAAGAACGGGGUAAUCUGUUGUGUUUCGAUUGCUACUAAUUAGGCAUCCAUGCUCUGAUUCAUUUGGUGCUAUUUCUGUUCCUUGUAUCUUAUAAAAAAAAAAAUCCUAAAUCCAAUCAUUGUGUUAUGUAACCUAAUUUUCAGUAAUGAACAGCUGCCAAAAAGACAAUUUCACCUGAAU